UACCGGAAGGCAGCAGUGGGGAAUAUUGCACAAUGGGCGCAAGCCUGAUGCAGCCAUGCCGCGUGUAUGAAGAAGGCCUUCGGGUUGUAAAGUACUUUCAGUCGUGAGGAAGGUGUUAAGGUUAAUAACCUUAGCAAUUGACGUUAGCGACAGAAGAAGCACCGGCUAACUCCGUGCCAGCAGCCGCGGUAAUACGGAGGGUGCGAGCGUUAAUCGGAAUUACUGGGCGUAAAGGGCACGCAGGCGGUUAAUUAAGUUGGAUGUGAAAUCCCCGGGCUUAACCUGGGAAUGGCAUUCAAGACUGGUUAGCUAGAGUCUUGUAGAGGGGGUAGAAUUCCAUGUGUAGCGGUGAAAUGCGUAGAGAUGUGGAGGAAUACCGGUGGCGAAGGCGGCCCCUGGGACAAAGACUGACGCUCAUGUGCGAAAGCGUGGGGAGCAAACAGGAUUAGAUACC
rnacentral:rRNA from 1 species